rnacentral:rRNA from 1 species
AGUGAACGCUGGCGGUAGGCCUAACACAUGCAAGUCGAACGGCAGCACAGUAAGAGCUUGCUCUUACGGGUGGCGAGUGGCGGGCGGGUGAGGAAUACAUCGGAAUCUACUUUUUCGUGGGGGAUAACGUAGGGACACUUACGCUAAUACCGCAUACGACCUACGGGUGAAAGCAGGGGAUCUUCGGACCUUGCGCGAUUGAAUGAGCCGAUGUCGGAUUAGCUAGUUGGCGGGGUAAAGGCCCACCAAGGCGACGAUCCGUAGCUGGUCUGAGAGGAUGAUCAGCCACACUGGAACUGAGACACGGUCCAGACUCCUACGGGAGGCAGCAGUGGGGAAUAUUGGACAAUGGGCGCAAGCCUGAUCCAGCCAUACCGCGUGGGUGAAGAAGGCCUUCGGGUUGUAAAGCCCUUUUGUUGGGAAAGAAAAGCAGCAGGUUAAUACCCCGCUGUUCUGACGGUACCCAAAGAAUAAGCACCGGCUAACUUCGUG